rnacentral:rRNA from 1 species
GACGAACGCUGGCGGCGUGCUUAACACAUGCAAGUCGAACGGAAAGGCCCUGCUUUUGUGGGGUGCUCGAGUGGCGAACGGGUGAGUAACACGUGAGUAACCUGCCCUUUACUUUGGGAUAACUUCAGGAAACUGGGGCUAAUACCGGAUAGGAGCUCCUGCUGCAUGGUGGGGGUUGGACAGUUUCGGCGGUUGGUGAUGGACUCGCGGCUUAUCAGCUUGUUGGUGGGGUAGUGGCUUACCAAGGCUUGGACGGGUAGCCGGCCUGAGAGGGUGACCGGCCACAUUGGGACUGAGAUACGGCCCAGACUCCUACGGGAGGCAGCAGUGGGGAAUAUUGCACAAUGGGCGGAAGCCUGAUGCAGCAACGCCGCGUGCGGGAUGACGGCCUUCGGGUUGUAAACCGCUUUCGCCUGUGACGAAGCGUGAGUGACGGUAAUGGGUAAAGAAGCACCGGCUAACUACGUG